UAGGGAAUCUUCGGCAAUGGACGAAAGUCUGACCGAGCAACGCCGCGUGAGUGAAGAAGGUUUUCGGAUCGUAAAACUCUGUUGUUAGAGAAGAACAAGGACGGUAGUAACUGAACGUCCCCUGACGGUAUCUAACCAGAAAGCCACGGCUAACUACGUGCCAGCAGCCGCGGUAAUACGUAGGUGGCAAGCGUUGUCCGGAUUUAUUGGGCGUAAAGCGAGCGCAGGCGGUUUCUUAAGUCUGAUGUGAAAGCCCCCGGCUCAACCGGGGAGGGUCAUUGGAAACUGGGAGACUUGAGUGCAGAAGAGGAGAGUGGAAUUCCAUGUGUAGCGGUGAAAUGCGUAGAUAUAUGGAGGAACACCAGUGGCGAAGGCGGCUCUCUGGUCUGUAACUGACGCUGAGGCUCGAAAGCGUGGGGAGCAAACAGG
rnacentral:rRNA from 1 species